rnacentral:rRNA from 1 species
CCGAUGGAAGUUUGAGGCAAUAACAGGUCUGUGAUGCCCUUAGAUGUUCUGGGCCGCACGCGCGUUACACUGAUGAAGUCAUCGAGUUCAUUCCUUUAUCGGAAGAUAUGGGUAAUCUUUUGAAACUUCAUCGUGCUGGGGAUAGAGCAUUGCAACUAUUGCUCUUGAACGAGGAAACCCCUAGUAAGUACAAGUCACUAGCUUGUGCUGAUUACGUCCCUGCCCUUUGUACACACCGCCCGUCGCUACUACCGAUUGAAUGGCUUUAAUGAGGCCCUCUGAUUGA